UACGUAGGGUGCGAGCGUUGUCCGGAAUUACUGGGCGUAAAGAGCUCGUAGGUGGUUUGUCGCGUUGUUCGUGAAAACUCACAACUCAAUUGUGGGCGUGCGGGCGAUACGGGCAGACUGGAGUAUUGCAGGGGAGACUGGAAUUCCUGGUGUAGCGGUGGAAUGCGCAGAUAUCAGGAGGAACACCGGUGGCGAAGGCGGGUCUCUGGGCAGUAACUGACGCUGAGGAGCGAAAGCGUGGGGAGCGAACAGG
rnacentral:rRNA from 1 species